UACGUAGGGUGCAAGCGUUAAUCGGAAUUACUGGGCGUAAAGCGUGCGCAGGCGGUUCGCUAAGACCGAUGUGAAAUCCCCGGGCUUAACCUGGGAACUGCAUUGGUGACUGGCGGGCUAGAGUAUGGCAGAGGGGGGUAGAAUUCCACGUGUAGCAGUGAAAUGCGUAGAGAUGUGGAGGAAUACCGGUGGCGAAGGCGGCAUCCUGGACCGGCAUUGACGCUGAUGAGCGAAAGCUAGGGGAGCAAACGGG
rnacentral:rRNA from 1 species